rnacentral:rRNA from 1 species
GCCCGCACAAGCGGCGGAGCAUGCGGAUUAAUUCGAUGCAACGCGAAGAACCUUACCAAGGCUUGACAUAUACCGGAAACCUGCAAAAAUGUAGGCCCCGCAAGGUCGGUAUACAGGUGGUGCAUGGUUGUCGUCAGCUCGUGUCGUGAGAUGUUGGGUUAAGUCCCGCAACGAGCGCAACCCUCGUUCUAUGUUGCCAGCACGUCAUGGUGGGAACUCAUAGGAGACUGCCGGGGUCAACUCGGAGGAAGGUGGGGAUGACGUCAAAUCAUCAUACCCCUUAUGUCUUGGGCUUCACGCAUGCUACAAUGGCCGGUACAAAGGGCGGCAAUACCGUAAGGUGGAGCGAAUCCCAAAAAGCCGGUCUCAGUUCGGAUUGAGGUCUGCAACUCGACCUUAUGAAGUCGGAGUCGCUAGUAAUCGUAGAUCAGCAACGCUGCGGUGAAUACGUUCCCGGGCCUUGUACACAGUCGACGCGGUGAAAUGCGUAGAGAUCGAGGAAGAACAGUCGGUGGCGAAGGCGCUUCCG